GAUGAACGCUGGCGGCGUGCCUAAUACAUGCAAGUCGAGCGAACGGACGAGAAGCUUGCUUUUCUGAUGUUAGCGGCGGACGGGUGAGUAACACGUGGAUAACCUACCUAUAAGACUGGGAUAACUUCGGGAAACCGGAGCUAAUACCGGAUAAUAUUUUGAACCGCAUGGUUCAAAAGUGAAAGACGGUCUUGCUGUAACUUAUAGAUGGAUCCGCGCUGCAUUAGCUAGUUGGUAAGGUAACGGCUUACCAAGGCAACGAGGCAUAGCCGACCUGAGAGGGUGAUCGGCCACACUGGAACUGAGACACGGUCCAGACUCCUACGGGAGGCAGCAGUAGGGAAUCUUCCGCAAUGGUCGAAAGCCUGACGGAGCAACGCCGCGUGAGUGAUGAAGGUCUUCGGAUCGUAAAACUCUGUUAUUAGGGAUGAACAUAUGUGUAAGUAACUGUGCACAUCUUGACGGUACCUAAUCAGAAAGCCACGGCUAACUACGUG
rnacentral:rRNA from 1 species